rnacentral:rRNA from 1 species
CCUACGGGUGGCAGCAGUGAGGCAUAUUGGUCAAUGGACGAGAGUCUGAACCAGCCAAGUAGCGUGAAGGAUGACUGCCCUAUGGGUUGUAAACUUCUUUUAUAUGGGAAUAAAAUGUUCCACGUGUGGGAUUUUGUAUGUACCAUAUGAAUAAGGAUCGGCUAACUCCGUGCCAGCAGCCGCGGUAAUACGGAGGAUCCGAGCGUUAUCCGGAUUUAUUGGGUGUAAAGGGAGCGUAGGUGGAAUGUUAAGUCAGUUGUGAAAGUUUGCGGCGCAACCGUCAAAUUGCAGUUGAAACUGGCAGUCUUGAGUACAGUAGAGGUGGGCGGAAUUCGUGGUGUAGCAGUGAAAUGCUUAGAUAUCACGAAGAACUCCGAUUGCGAAGGCAGCUCACUGGACUGCAACUGACACUGAGGCUCGAAAGUGUGGGUAGCAAACAGGAUUAGAUACCCCAGUAGUC